UCCUCCUGGCAGAGCCAAUGCAGUGGUGCUCAUCAGACACAGUAGCAUCUGGAUUGAGCAGACUUGGGAGUGCACUAGUGUGGGUCUCAGGAUGGGGACACCCCACAGGACCUGGUGAGACUCACAGGAGCCGGAUGGUCUGUAAUAGAAGGCCUGGGAUCCGCAGCCCCCAUUAGCGAUGGGUAAUAACGGCCCCAAUGACUGAAUGCCACUCUGCGGCUUUCAAGCCUGAAGACACGCCAAAUUGCCGUUUGCUUUCAUUACCGCGAGCUCAAAAUAUUCCAGUGCCAGCUUGCUGGGCGACCCUGUGCAACCGAGGGCCGAACGAUUUCCAUGACAGAAUUCCCUCUCGCAGAGGUGUGCAGUUCGUGGGUGUGCACCUCUGUGCACCACCAAGUCUAGAGCACAGCUGCCCUGAGCCCCAACCCUGACUGAGACCCUGGUAAGAAACCCUGGAGCCGCAGUUCCUCUGCUAAAAAGGAAAAGAGAAGUGAGCAUGGUUGCAUCCUGAUUACCCUAUCUGAGCCCGGGCCGCAAGACCAGGGAAGUCAUCCAAAGAUGCUGAUUCCAUGAAACAUCUCUCCAGGCUCUCACUCAGUCAGGCCUACGCCCGAGUUCACCAGCUCCACCCCUGGCUAUAUGACUUCAUCACUCUGGUGCUAGAAAUGCCAUCCCUGAGAAGGCAGGGGAUGUGUCUUUGCUGCCAUUGGACUUCGGAUACCCACAGCCUGGCCCAGGGCCUGUUCCCCUGCGGGCUGUAGGACAGGCAAGGAGAGGAGGAGCUGGUCCCCGAACUUCCUCUUCCUGGGAAAGUCUGCCAGGAGCCUCCACCAACAGGCAACCUCAUCCCCUUGCUUCAGGGCCCAGCCUCAAGCUGGCUCACACUCAAGACCUGGGCUUUAUGCUUAACCCAAAGCAGUCCAUGCCUCACUCGAGGCCAAGUUCAGACAAGAGGCAAUCAGGGGCUUAAGUGACGGCCAGAAAAGGCCAGCCACUGGUUAUUAAAUAUUAAGUGACAAGAGCCUGUGAAAAUAUAAUUGCAAAUGAGACUCUGAAGCAGAUGUCGCCAACAGCUUGGACCCACGUUUGCAGUUGGGUCCAACAGGAUUUCAAGUCACCAAGCUGGGCUGCUGGCAACUUCUUUGCAUUUUCCAGGCACAUGUUGGGUGCCAGGCCUUAAACUAGAGACUCCAGGUAGAAGAUCAACUCGACAUGGUGCCAGCUUCAAGAGAUCCCAUGCUUGGUGAAGAAGACAAAAUAAGUAAAAUCUCACAGACACAGGCAAUUCGAGGGCUGGUACCACCCUGGAAGGGCCUGAGGAGCUGAGGCUUCAGAGGGUGAAUGAUCUACCUGUAAAGGGUUGUCAUUCAACAACCUCUCAUUCAAUACCUCCUGUGUGCCAGCUGUGGCAGAUCGAGCCCUGUCUUUCUUGGCACAACUGGGUGGGAACUGGCACAGAUAAAUAAGGAUGUCCACAGUAAAGAAGCAACAAAGGAAAAGAGUCUGUGAGAAGUGAGGACUUCAGUGUGGCUGGACAUGUGUGGGAGAGAGGGAGGAAGCUGUCAUAUCAAACAGCUUGUCUGAGUCCUGGGAAAUUUCAACAAACCGUGAGGGACAGUGUAUGGCUCCUAGGGCUCCUGAGAAAAGACAUAGUCUGGUCUGCUCUGGUCUAAAUCUGCUGUCCUGAGAAGUAGUAGGAAGAGGAAGAAGAGGAAGAAGACACGUCAGUGGACACCCAGUCUACGGAGGCUGCCUGGUUAUCUGCCCACUCCAACCUACAUCUUGACAUGGGUUCCUCAGUCUCCACCUCUGAAGGACCUUGCAGGAGCCAAGUGCUUUCCUUUGGCUCUCACCUGCAGGCUUCUUCCCCAGCUCCUGAACUGCUUGAAAUACAUUCUGAGGACACAGAAGCCUUUGUGCUGCUGGGAGCAUUGUCCCUGCAGAAGGUGACCGGGAUUGAUAAUGAGAUCCCAGACCACGAAAGCAACAAGUCCUUGCUGAGUGAGGGACGAUCCUAGUUCAGUAUUCCCAAAAGAAAUCCUAGCUGGUUGGACCUCCCUCCAUUGCCCUGGGGGAAGGGGGUGAUGAGCUUUAAAGAUCAUUGCCUGGUCAUGAAUCUAUGGGAAGAAAGACUGGAAAGGGAGAGGAAGAGAAGGGCUGCAUUUGAAAAUACUAAGACUCCAGGAUUCCAAUUCUUGAAUAUAGUUCUAGUAGUCUAGCACUGCAUUAGUGUGAGAUUCUAGAAUUCUGUAGAUCUAAAAUGCUGUGAUUCUAGAAUUCUGUGAUUCUAAGACUCUAAAGUGAUUUGGGGAAGAAAAACAUCCUCGUCAUGCUUCUUCUUAAUAGAAUGCAUGCUUCUGGAGUGAAGUACACACCCAGAACUGCAAAGCCAGGCAGGCUUGUUUCCCUUUUUCCUGCCUUUAAAUCAUCUCACUCCUCUCCUCUGUGUGUGCUCAUCACAUACCCCUCCUAGACCCUCCCCCAGGCCUGGCAGCCACACAUUUGCCAUCUGCAUAUAAACCAGUGAUUAGCACCGUGAAGCAGGAGAGGAGGGUGUGGAACCCUUACUGCCUGCCAGUCAGCAGGGGUGCAGGAAGUCACCCCAGCUCCCCAAAAGGGCUGAGCAGGGGAGGAGGGAUGACACAGUAACACUGUCUCACAGUAAAACACAUAAAAGAAGACCCCAGGCUUACAGAUACACAAAGACAUAGAGAGACAUGUCCACCACAUACCUGCAUGUGUAUGACAUUUAUACAUGUGCAAACAACCAAAGACACACAACCCCACACUGAUACAUACCCUGACACACAAGCAUGCAAGAGUACAAAGAAAUACACAGCACACAUGAUACUGGCAGACACACACACACACACACACACACAGAUAAACCCAUGCAAACAAGCCCAAGUUUGUAGAUACACAUGCAGUUACACAAAUCCCACAUCCUCAAGGGGACAAUGACACUGAGCUGCUGGCACUACAUGAGUUGACAGGAGAGUCACCCUUCCCAUCCCCAUCUCCCAUUCCUACUCAUUCAUGGCCCAUUAUUUAAGGACUAUGAGGUACCCAGCCUGGCACUGGACCCUUGGGAGAGUCUACGGCAGGGUAGAGGCAGGAAGCAAUUCAGUCAGGCCCUGGAAGCAGGGUGGCAGCUGGAACCCAGGGAACCAUACAAAACUGAUUGUCCAGAAAUGUAGUGAGCUCCCCAUCACAGGAGAUAAUCUAGUUUCUACAGAGGAUUUUGUUGUCAGAUGGGUGAGUGGGUAGAGGUCUGAAGACCUCUAUUCCUUCCAGACCGCAUAUUUCUAUCAAUUCUGCAGGGCUUCAAAAUAGUGGUCUUCACCUUAGUUAGUGUUCCAAUACCAGGAGCUCUUGUGGUAGUGGCACAAACCCCUACCACAUAGCCAUCAACUGCCUCGGGUCUCCACGUUCCUGCUGUAGCUGGAGCCUGUGGCCCUGCAGACUACUGACUAGGCCGUGCUGCCUCUGGCAGGGGACUAUCUCCAUGGGCGAGCAGUCACCGAGUGAGUCCUGGGAAGCCAAGAGGGAACAGCACUAGUGGACCUUGUCAGGACCGGUCUAAGAGGAGUUGCUUAAGGGCAGACACAUAUAUAUCCCUGCGCACGAGUUUUUCCCAUAAAAACCCACGUUUACCUUCACCCCCACUGUCUUGUUUCUUUUGAGCCCUGGUUAGGAGCAGACUCACUGAAAUAGGAUCAUAGGCCUGACUAAACCCUAAGAUUCUAAGGCUCCAUGUUUCCUUCCUGCUUAGAUAGGUUAAGAACCCCCCAGAUCUUCCCAGGAAGCAGGAGGAGAAAACAUCCUCACUGCUUCCCAGGGAGAGUCCUACCCUCGCCAGAGGUCACUCAGAAAUUUAUGGUAUACAGGAUGGAGCCAAACCUAAGGCCUCCUGUCCUGGGGCUGGUUCUUUUUAAGU